rnacentral:tRNA from 1 species
GGGACUAUAGCUCAGUUGGUAGAGUACUUGUCUUGUAUGCACAAGGCCCUGGGUUCAAUCCCCAGUACCACCA